AGCACACCCACACCAGGCCACAACAAUGGCCGCCGCCAAUGUCCUAGUCCCUGGAGAGGUCUCGCCUCUCACCGAGAUGCACUCAGGGCCUGUUGGAGAUUUGAAACUAUUGCUUUGCUGAAAACAUCUGGCUGCUGGUCUGGAAUGUGACUUUUAAGGGAAAGCUAUCUAGGACCCCAGGAGGCAAACACUGUGACUCAAGAAUUGGUCCUUUCCAUCUUCAAUUUAAUGAAAUAAUAAGCCAGUAAUUGAUUUAUAUUUAUAUUUACAUUUGCCUUACAAAUUCUGGGAUUUUUGUCACCUUAAUUGUAAUUCCAUAAGUAGUCACUA